CAAUUCAUUUCAAAACUGCUUAAACCGAAAGUCAAAAUUUAAAUUUAAAAAAUUUUUUAUUUUUUUGGAUUAACAAAAUUUAUUUAGAAAUAUGUUUUGAUGAAAUCAAUAGAUUUCGUGAAUUUCUUAAAUCAAAAGAGAAAAACUUCUUUCAAUAUAAAUUUAAGUAAAUCUUAAUAGCGGCUUCAGCAUGGAUAUGUACAGGGCAGCUUUAGACGCUGUUUACGCUGUGGCGCUUAUCAUAUAUAUAUAUCUGGAGAAACCGAUGGAAAGCCCGUUUGCAUUUGCUGGUGUCACGAUGGGGUUAAUCCAUAGCAUAAUUUGUGCAAUAAAAUCAUUUCACCAUAAUGAUGAUGAUGAAGACGAAGAGGUCUCUGUUAUCGUUAAGAUCUCUGAAGCCAUGUGUCAGUUAUUACCAAUGUCAUGCUCAAAUAUCCACUUUUACUUGAAAUCGGAUAUACUGCGUCCAUAUGCUUAUGCACAUACAUAUACCUUGUUAGUAUUUUUCUGCGCUGUUUUUGCUAUUGUUUACGAAGAAGACUACGAAAAUAGUCCCAUUGAUUACUUAAGAAGUAUGACUGUAAUAUUUAAUUGUGCAUCCAUGGGUUUCGUGGGAUAUGUUGAAAGUAAGUACAUGUAUAUCGACAUAGCUCUCAUGGUACUUUUAACUAAUAUUGUGCGUAAAAUUCUAAAAAUGUGUGGAUAUACUUGCACUCGGCAAUUUAGCAUUGUCCUCGCACUUUGUCGACUAAGCGUUGCAAUAUUCUUGUCAAAAUAUUAUUACAAAGACAAAGUAUAAUGUGCAUUUAAAAAAUCUUUUAACACCACAGAAGAAGUUCUCUUUAACUCGGUCUGAUCAAGAAAACUCAUACAAAAUGGUAAAAGUUAUAGAAAGUAUUAAAGGCUAUAGGUACUAUAAAUAGUAACAGAGUUUAAACGAACUCGUGUGAUCGAAUUUCCGAUGGACUUUGAAAAGACCUUAAAAAAGAGAACGAAUUAGAAAACCACAAUUGUUUACUGUACUUUGAAAACUGUGAAUAUGGGUGUACGAUUUCGAUAAUAUAAACAUGUAUAUAUGUGGACUAUAACUAGAAUGAGAACGAUUCGUCUAUUGAAACUAAUGGUACCUGACUAUGGAUUAAACUAAAAACAUCUGUUGAACUAUUACUGCAAGAAAAUGGUUUAUGUUUCUUUAUCGAUAAAAAUACAAUAAAUGUCUUCUGUGUCAAUUCAAAACAAUCUUCCUACAAUUGAAGGGUAUUUCAUCAGAUCAGAUUUUAACGUUUUUAAACACUUUGGUACAAUUUCAUUCCUUGAAUCUCAAGACCUGCAUGAAUUUAUGUGAAUUACUAAUAAACUUCAAAUAAAUUCGAAAAAAGUCGUAUUUGAGAAAAUAUUUAAAAUCCCGGAACCUACAAUAGCAAAGAAGUUUUUAUAAUUAAUCUGGAAAUACACAUUGGAUAUGUGAGGAACUGUAUUGCGUAUUCAUAACUGACAUAUAUCGCUAUGAUCAACCUAAACAUAAUAAUGAAAAAACUGGAAUCUCCCUUACACAAUGGAUUAACCCCAGCGUGACACACAAGCAAACAGGAUCUCUCUAUAACAAUGGAUUAACCCCAGCGUGACACAACAGCAAACAGGAUCUCCCUUAAACAGUGGAUUAACUCCAGUACGAAACACCAGCAAACAUGAUCUCCCUAAAACAAUUAAACCCAGCGUGAAACACCAGCAAACAGGAUCUCUCUUAAAUAAUAAAUUUACUCCAGCACGAAACACCAGCAAACAUGAUCUCCCUAAAACAAUUAAACCCAGCGUGAAACACCAGCAAACAGGAUCUCUCUUAAAUAAUAAAUUUACUCCAGCACGAAACACCAGCAAACAGGAUCUCUAUUAUAAAUGGAUGAACCCCAGCGUAAAACACCAGUAAACAUGAUCUCCCUAAAGCAAUGGAUUAACCCCAGCAUGAAACACCAGCAAACAACUCCAUCAUGAAACACCAGCAAACAGGAUCUUCCUUAUACAAUGGAUUAACCCCAGCGUGAAACACCAGCAAACAUGAUCUCCCUUAUACAAUGGAUUAACCCCAGCGUGAAACACCAGCAAACAGGAUCUUCCUUAUACAAUGGAUUAACCCCAGCGUGAAACACCAGCAAACAGAAUAUUCAUUAUAAAUGGAUUAACCCCAGCGUGAAAUACCAGCAAACAUGAUCUCCCUAAAAUAAUGGAUUAAACCCAGCGUGAAACACCAGCAAACAGGAUCUCUCUUAAAUUAUAAAUUAACUCCAGCACGAAACAGCAGCAAACAGGAUCUCCCUUAUACAAUGGAUUAAUCCCAGCGUGAAACACCAGCAAACAGUAUAUUCGUUAUAAAUAGAUUAACCCCAGCGUGAAACACCAGCAAACAUGAUCUUCCUAAAACAAUGGAUUAAACCCAGCGUGAAACACCAGCAAACAGGAUCUCUCUUAAAUAAUAAAUUAACUCCAGCACGAAACAGCAGCAAACAGGAUCUCCCUUAUACAAUGGAUUAACCCCAGCGUGAAACACCAGCAAAUGCGCAAAGUAGUCCAGAACAAUAAGCCGUGCGUUAAAGAAAACAACUUAAAACAAACUAUAAACCAACGAAUAUAUUUUUAUUUAAAUAAUUUUUUAACUUAAAUAAACAU